UUUUUUAGAAACACAGAAAACAAAUUAUUUUAGCAUUCGAUCCUUUGUUUUAUCACUAGCAGAAUGUUCCUCUCGUAUGUAUUAACACAAGCACCUUUGUGUGCUACAAAUGACAUCCAUGCACGAGGCACUCGAAUCACAAUAUUAAUAAAUAAUUUGGGUACAAAUCAAGCAAAGAAAUAAAUAGUGAACACAUGAGGUCAUGCGCCCGUUAACCACAAUGAAAUAAUACUAAUGAGUACAAACUAAUUUCACAAAUCUGUACCAUAGCAUGGAUCUCCCGUGGAUAUGUUCAGUUGUACCACUCAAUGAAGAACGCAUAACAAAAACUAUAGGAGAGAUCAAUAGAGGUUAAGCGAUAAAAAUUCAAGCUUUUCCCCAUAAUUGCACUACACAUGUUCAGAUUUUUCACCAGUAUUUUUAAGUGUGCUGCCAUCUGAACCUUUGACAUUUCCUUCUUAUAUAAAUGAUCUUGAACCCCCUAGAAACUUGUGAGAUAUGAUCGCAUCUCUCGAAAGCCAUCGAUCGCUUUAGAACAAUUCCUGAAAUCCUCUCACACCGUGCAUAAAACUUGGCCUUCGGUCCCAAUAAUAAUAUUUUGGGAUCCUUCUUCAAUCGCCAUCAACAUUGUUGUCCCUGUCGGUCAGCUAUCAACUUACGGUUCCGAACAUACUAGCUUUGGCAAAAUGUGUACGAACUGCUAAAGAAACUAAAGAUCGUUGGCGAACAACAUCGGGUAGUACUUUGUUGUCUUUGAACUUCAUGGUUUCUUGAUUCUGAACUUGCGAUUUAUUUAAUUUUUUGUAGGGUGCAGGGAGACUGCCGGUGUUCGGAAGCCGGGCUUUGUUCCCUCAAGUAGUCGCGUCCACUGCCGCACAGGACGGUGAGCAGGGGAGGAAAGACAGACAGACCUGGCAACAAGCACUAUAAGAUGAUGAAUACAAUGAAUCAUCUACUUAUAAGUUCAGCAAAAAAAAAUAUAAGCACAUCAGACUAUGUAUGUCACAGCGUGAAGCAAAGGAAAAUCAAAGUGAACACUUAGCUACAAUAGUUUUCUUACAUAUAUGAACGCAAACACAUCCUAGGCAAAGAAAUGCUGGGAAUAUCUAAAUCAAAACAGAAGCACUAGUAGAUGUUGUGUUUCAAUGCACUGCUACAUCUCGUUUUUUUCUCUUUUUCUUUUCCUAUUUUCUAGCCAAUUAUAAAGUGCUUAUAGAAAAAUUACAACUUUUCCCCACUCCACGAUAUAAGUGCUUGGGAUGGAGGUAUUUUGCGCAGUAAAUAAUUGGGCAAAUAAUAGAACAUGAACAAAGAAAAAUUAAACCAAAGGGAAACACGAUUACACAACAGUUCUAUCUUCAGCUAGCCAUUUUAUCAAACAUGUCUUGUGCACCUUUUGGUUUGGCGCAAGAAACAUAGGGAAGGAGGCGAGCAAGAGUAGAUUGGAAAGGGAGGUGGCAGGACUGUGCUAGCAGUAGUUGUUGCUCCUUGUGUGUCACUGUGAAGCUGGAGUACAGAUGGACGGCUUACCUCUUCAUCAACGUGUGGGAGAAGUGGCUACGGUGUGGCACGCAGGCGACGCCCGGGGUGUGGAGGCGCUGGGUGGAGCAGUUCGUGGCAGCGCGUGCGAGCAGUCCGUGGCAGCGCGUGCGAGCAGUCCAUAUACUACACAUGCUCUGUAUCUCCCUCUAUUCUUGCUUAUCCAUCAAAAUCAAGGCGUUGACUUCAUUAGGAGAAAAACAAAACUAGCAUUGGCAGAAAGCGUAGUGGUAGCAUUAGCAAGAAAGGCUACCUCUUGCAUCUUCAGGCUGGUGGAGCUUCACCCAGCAGCAGCUGGCCAGGACGAGAUUGCGUGCACCCUGCGAGCCAGAUCCCCGGAAGGUGGAGGUGGGCUUUGCGAGGUCAACCAGCAGGUGAAGGUUCAUGGGUUGGGGGCGGCGCGUCGGCAUGUGGAUGCGAUGUGGAGUAGCAAGAACAAAAGAUUGGAUCAAGGAAGGGGCAAACAGAGUUUGCGAUUGCAAUAAAAAUGAAACUAGCAAAUUGAGGGGCUCGUCCUAGUUGUGGUUGUAGGCUCGAUGGCCUUCUGCAGUGCUCCAUCGAGGAAGCUGCCGGUCUCCUUCAGCUAUGAGUCAGGGAGAGCAACCCCCGGUGACUG
rnacentral:lncRNA from 1 species